UCCGGUUUGGCACCGGCAGUCCUCCCAGAGUCCUCGGCUUGACCCGGUAGCAACUGGGAGCGGGGGUUGCGCUCGUUGCGGGACUUAACCCAACAUCUCACGACACGAGCUGACGACAGCCAUGCAGCACCUGUGCAGGGACUCCGAAGAGGGGUCCUGGUUUCUCAGGACUUUCCCCUGCAUGUCAAGCCCAGGUAAGGUGGGGAUGACGUUAGUGACCUUUGC
rnacentral:misc_RNA from 1 species